AGCAUGCCUCUUGAGAGGCAAACACAAUCUCAAUUCCAGCUCUAUUUUUUAUCUUGAAAAUAGGCCCAUUUACUACCCUCCAAGGACCAUGAGAUGACAGAAACAAGAAUUUCACAUAUCAGAAAAUGUGCAUAAGGGAAUACCAAGACAUUUUGCUCUGACCAGACAGAAACCCUCCUACAUCCAAUCAAGAGGAAAAGAAUAGAAAAUGGGGCAGCUGCAGCCCACGUCAUCACCCCCUAACAAAAGCAGUACAAAAUUCAGUGUAAAUGAACAUUAAGGUGAAUGAAAACCAAGAGGCUCACACAACCUGUUUACAAAUAUGUCCUGUUUUUAUCUAUGAUUGCUUCACAGCGCUGCUGUGCUUCUCUGAUGUGCUGGACUUCAGUCACAGCCCUGAUAUAAGCAAUGUGUCACUUUCCCAACCAAAGAAAAUAGAAUUUAAGCAAGCUUGUCAACAGUAGGGCCCAGCAGGCAGGCGAAGCAAGGAAUCCAAGAGGGUCAGAUUUCUUGGUAUUUCUCUGCUAGCAC